rnacentral:rRNA from 1 species
UACAGAGGUCUCAAGCGUUGUUCGGAUUCAUUGGGCGUAAAGGGUGCGUGGGCGGCUCGGUAAGUCGGGUGUGAAAUCUCGGGGCUUAACUCCGAAACUGCAUUCGAUACUGCCGUGCUUGAGGACUGGAGAGGAGACUGGAAUUUACGGUGUAGCGGUGAAAUGCGUAGAUAUCGUAAGGAAGACCAGUGGCGAAGGCGGGUCUCUGGACAGUUCCUGACGCUGAGGCACGAAGGCCAGGGGAGCAAACGGG